ACGCUCGACACCUACGGGAGGCAGCAGUGAGGGAUAUUGGUCAAUGGGGGGAACCCUGAACCAGCAACGCCGCGUGAGGGAUGACGGUCUUCGGAUUGUAAACCUCUGUCCUCUGUGAAGAUAAUGACGGUAGCAGAGGAGGAAGCUCCGGCUAACUACGUGUCAGCAGCCGCGGUAAUCUGAGCGGGCUGGCAAGGC
rnacentral:rRNA from 1 species